GAUGAACGCUGGCGGCGUGCCUAAUACAUGCAAGUCGAGCGAACGGACGAGAAGCUUGCUUCUCUGAUGUUAGCGGCUGACGUGUGAGUAACACGUGGAUAACCUACCUAUAAGACUGGGAUAACUUCGGGAAACCGGAGCUAAUACCGGAUAAUAUUUUGAACCGCAUGGUUCAAAAGUGAAUGACGGUCUUGCUGUCACUUAUAGAUGGAUCCGCGCUGCAUUAGCUAGUUGGUAAGGUAACGGCUUACCAAGGCAACGAUGCAUAGCCGACCUGAGAGGGUGAUCGGCCACACUGGAACUGAGACACGGUCCAGACUCCUACGGGAGGCAGCAGUAGGGAAUCUUCCGCAAUGGGCGAAAGCCUGACGGAGCAACGCCGCGUGAGUGAUGAAGGUCUUCGGAUCGUAAAACUCUGUUAUUAGGGAAGAACAUAUGUGUAAGUAACUGUGCACAUCUUGACGGUACCUAAUCAGAAAGCCACGGCUAACUACGUG
rnacentral:rRNA from 1 species